AGAUGAGGAGUCCAUGGCAGAUGAGGAGUCCGUUGAAGAUGAGUCUGUUGAAGAUGAGUCCGCAGAGAACAGGAUGGUGGUGACAUUGCUCAUAUCAGCUCUUGAGUCCAUGGAUCAUGGCACAAGUUGCAGUUUCCACCCUGCCCAUUGAAGAUGAGGAGUUUGUUGAAGAUGAGGAGUCCUUGGAGAGCAGGAUGGUGGUGACAUUCCUAAUGUCAGCUCUCGAGUCCACGGUCAGACCUUCUGUUCUCACAUUCUGUAGUUUGGUAGGACUGGGCAGUAGAUAAGGUUGAUUUAUUUUUGUAGAACUUACAAUUUUAUGAUUUUCAGUUGUAAUGAGUAGACCUUUUUCGUGAAUAGUAGUUAUGGUUAAACACCUCUA
rnacentral:lncRNA from 10 species